GAUGAACGCUAGCGGCAGGCUUAACACAUGCAAGUCGAGGGGUAUAGUAGCAAUACUAGAGACCGGCGCACGGGUGCGUAACGCGUAUGCAAUCUACCUUUUGCAGAGGGAUAGCCCAGAGAAAUUUGGAUUAAUACCUCAUAGUAUAGAACAAUCGUAUGAUUGAGCUAUUAAAGUCACAACGGCAAAAGAUGAGCAUGCGUCCCAUUAGCUAGAUGGUAAGGUAACGGCUUACCAUGGCGACGAUGGGUAGGGGUCCUGAGAGGGAGAUCCCCCACACUGGUACUGAGACACGGACCAGACUCCUACGGGAGGCAGCAGUGAGGAAUAUUGGACAAUGGGCGCAAGCCUGAUCCAGCCAUGCCG
rnacentral:rRNA from 1 species